AAGAAGAAGCAUCCGCUUUGAGAUGGACCCGCGGCGCAUUAGCUAGUUGGUGAGGUAACGGCUCACCAAGGCGACGAUGCGUAGCCGACCUGAGAGGGUGAUCGGCCACAUUGGAACUGAGACACGGUCCACACUCCUACGGGAGGCAGCAGUGGGGAAUAUUGCGCAGUGGGGGAAACCCUGACGCAGCACCGCCGCGUGAAUGAUGAAGGCCUUCGGGUUGUAAAGUUCUGUCUUCUGGGACGAUAAUGACGGUACCAGAGGAGGAAGCCACGGCUAACUACGUGCCAGCAGCCGCGGUAAUACGUAGGUGGCAAGCGUUGUCCGGAUUUACUGGGCGUAA
rnacentral:rRNA from 1 species